AACGAACGCUGGCGGCAUGCCUAACACAUGCAAGUCGAACGAGACCUUCGGGUCUAUUGGCGCACGGGUUCGUAACGCGUGGGAACCUGCCCUUAGGUGCGGAAUAACUCCCCGAAAGGGGUGCUAAUACCGGAUAAUGUCUUCGGACCAAAGAUUUAUCGCCUUUGGAUGUUCUCGCGUUGGAUUAGGUAGUUGUAAGGGUAAAAGCCUACCAAGGCGACGAUCCAUAGCUGGUCUGAGAGGAUGAUCAGCCACACUGGGACUGAGAAACAGCACAGACUCCUACGGGAGGCAGCAGUGGGGAAUAUUGGACAAUGGGCGAAGGCCUGAUCCAGCACUGCUGCGUGAGUGAUGAAGGCAUUAGGGUUGUAAAGCUUUUUUACCCGGGCUGAUAAUGACAGUACCGGGAGAAUAAGCUCCGGCUAACUCCGUG
rnacentral:rRNA from 1 species